AUGAGUUAGGAAAAUCGCUGAAUAUGGAACUAGACUAGGAUAGUAAAAUAUGCUAAAAUAUAGUGAGAAUCAGAAAAUAAGGGGCUUGCAGCUAAAGAAGGUGAUUAGAGAAGACAUUGAGUAGCAAAAUUAAAAUGAGUAGCAUGCAAUAAAGAGGGUAGCAAAAUUAAAUAUCAUCUCUUUGGAAGGAAGAACACAAAAAGGAAACAAUGGCUUAUAUAGGAAGAACAAAAAGGCAUCAUUGUUUAUUUCGAUCAUAAAGGAAGAAAAAUAUUUUCAGCUCUUUAAAAGAAGGCUCAAGUUGAAAAUGGUUAUCCUCUUUCACAAAAAUCCCUCUAUAUUUAUAUGUGAAGAACAAUGAAAGGAUUUAAAUGCUUUUCCAACCUCCAGAGCUUUAGGCAUUUUCAUUUUGUUACCGCCAACAAAAUUGCACAGGUACAA
rnacentral:misc_RNA from 1 species